rnacentral:rRNA from 1 species
AUUGAACGCUGGCGGCAGGCCUAACACAUGCAAGUCGAGCGAGCGGCGGACGGGUGAGUAAUGUAUGGGAAUCUGCCCGAUAGAGGGGGAUAACUACUGGAAACGGUGGCUACUACCGCAUACUAUCGGAUGAACCCCUCGGGGAUUAGCUAGUAGGUGGGGUAACGGGUCACCUAGGCGACGAUCGCUAGCAGGUCUGAGAGGAUGAUCAGCCACACUGGGACUGAGACACGGCCCAGACGCCGACGGGAGGCAGCAGGGGGGAAUAUUGCACAAUGGGCGCAAGCCUGAUGCAGCCAUGCCGCGUGUAUGAAGAAGGCGUUAGGGUUUUAAAGUACUUUCAGCGGGGAGGCGUUAACCGCAGAAGAAGCACCGGCUAACUCCGUGCCAGCCGCCGCGGUAAUAC